rnacentral:lncRNA from 10 species
UGGGUGCCGGAGAAGCUCCAUAUAGUGCUAGGCCCAACUAUUCCAUGAGCUCCAAACUAGAGCGUCUCACACCCCCUGUGUCCCGUCCUCCUGGAUAGCUAAUGGAUGUCUUGGAUGUGGGAAACUUAUCCAGGCCAGCAUGGGACUCUGGAUCUUUGCCCUAAACCUGCUCCUCCCCAGGCUUCACCUUCUCAGCAGUGGCAUCACAUCCAGCCAGCUGCUCCAGCCCAAAUGUGAUGAGAUCAUUUUGAUUCCCCUUCUCUCCACAUCCUCUCCCCAUAUUCAAUUCAACAGCAGGUGCUGUCAGUGCUGCCCCAGCCUCUGUCUCCCUCGUGUCUCUCCAGGGCUGCACUGUGACAAGGCCACGGUGUCUACCUGGACGGCCACAGGGACUCCCAGUUGGUCUUCCUGCCUCUACUGCCGCCCCCGUUGCUCUAUUCCAACAGGGAAAGUGUGACCUCGUAAGUCCUGCUCAUCCCCUCCCAGGAUUUUUCACUGCACAUGGAAAGGAUCCACCUUUCUGCAAGGUCCUGCGUGACCUGGCACUUGCCUCGUUUUCUGACGUGACCUCCUUCCCUGCUGCCCCUUGUUCCAGCUGCACUGGCCAUUUCUCCAACACAACAAAUCCUUUCUCAUCAUGCCGCAUUCCCUGCCCCAGACCUUCACCUGGUGGCUGCCUCAGGUUCUUCAGGACUCAGGGGAGAUGUUGUCUCCUCAGAUGCCUUCUGGGACCACCUGACCAAUGUGGCACCUCAAGCC